UCUGGAGAGCCACAGCUGCCCACUCCUGCCAGGAGCAGGCUCUGGCCAGAGACACUUUGGGUCUGAGGCAGUGACUUAGAUCCCCGCUCCACAGACCGGCAGGUCCCCAGCGCUCUGCUCCGCUCUUGCCAUGGGGGACACUGGUGGGCCGUAACGUCCCAGAGUGGGGAUGUCUUGGGAGGAGUGAUGAUGGGCAGAUGCACCUCCCCCUGUGGCGGCCAGAGGUCCCGAACAGCUCUCCAGCUCUCCAGCUCUCCAGCUCUCCACUCUGCUUCCUGGAGAACUGGAGUUGCGAUCAGCAGCUCCCGCCUCACCCCUGCCUGCACCCUAGAGCCAGGCAUGGCAGGCUCACCCGGGCCACUGCCCCUCCUCAUCACAGAUGAGGAGACUGAGGCACACAGCGCUCAAGGCACCUGGACAAGGUCUUGACUCAUGCAGCCUGGCCUAGAUGCCAGCCCGGCACCACCCCUGGAUGACAGAAAGCACAGAGGCAGGGUGGUGUCAGACCAGCACGCCAGGUAGAGAGAAGAAACUACUCCUGGGAGCCAUGGCCAGCAGUGCGGAUGAGAGACAAGGGCUGUUGAGCAGUCAGGAAGCCUCUAGCCACCUUCAGGGAGGCAGCUAAAAGGACCCACCAAGGGCACCUGGCUGAAUCUGCUCCACACGAACUGGGCCCGGGGGGAAUGAUCCUCCAGAAGAAAGGCUCAUCUUUGGAAGACGGCGGCGAGUUUGAGCAUUUGUGUUCCCUCCCAAGCGUACGUGGAAUUAAUCCUCGAGUCCACGGUGUCGGGUGGUGUGGCCAUGGGGGAGUCACCCUCACGAAGAGAUUAGCCGCCCUCAAAAGGGGACUGACAAAGGUACUUGAGCCCUUCCACCCCCUCCUACUCCGUGAGGACAGAACCCCCACACCCCACACCCCCGGAACCAGCACUCCAGACGCCAUCUCGGAAGGAGAGGGAGAGCUCUGACCACCAGCAAGCCUUUCGGUACCCUGCCCUUGCACUCACCAGGCUGAAAAUAAAUGCUAGUGUCGGUACAGGAGCACAGGCAGGCUGCUUAAGGACAUUAGAGGCGGGAGAGCAAAGGAGAGGCGGGACAGGACUACUGCCUGCAUGCUGUUACUGGCUGAGAACUGGGCCAGAAAGGAGGAGACUAGCAGGAGUUGGAGAGGGUGAUGCCAGGUGCUGUUCACCGCGUUGAUGUCCCGAUGGGAGGUUCCUAAGAAGGUGACGGGAGGACUCCUGUGGGACUCACAGUUGUGAUUUAGCCGGCAGCAACAUUUGCACAGGGGAAUGACAGCUCUGAGUCUGAGACUGCUCACAGUAGCACCAUUCUCCAUAUUGAAAGGCUGAGGGGACCACAGAGAAACUGUUAACUAAAUAAAGGUGUAUCCCAGGACUGCAGAGCUCCAGAUGUGCCAGUGCCACUGAACCCCCGUGCUAACAGAUGCCCAAAGCCCCAGCACAGCUUCCAGCAGCAUUCAGCUCCCUGUCACAAUGCUGAAGGACUUACUGCUUGUUCAGAUGACGUGACAUGCUGUGGCUAGAACGCCUCUCCCAAAGGUCGUGUGUUGAAAGCUAUGAUGAGUAUUCUGAGAGGUGAGGCUGUGAGGAGGGGACAGGUCACGAGGGCGCCGUCCUCAUGAGUGAAUUAAUCCAUUCGUGGACGGCUGGGUUAUCACAGCAGUGGCUGUUGCAAAGCUGAUCUCUCCUGCAGACCUCUGCCACCGCUCAACUCCAUGACCCGGCAGGAAAGCCUUUCCAGGAGGCUCGCCACAUGCCGGUACCCUGCUCUCGGACUUCCUGGCCUCCAGAACCAUGCACUAGGUAAACCUCUACCUUGAGUGGGGGGGACUAAUUCAAGAUUUAACCCGGGGAGUGCUAAGGUACACACCUAGCCCUUUUCAUUUUAUUUAUUUAUUGAGACAGAGUCUUACUAAGUUGCUGAGACUGGCCUCAAACUUGUAAUCCUCCUGCCUCAGCCUUCCAAGUAGCUGAGAUGACAGGCCAGUGCCACCACACAUGGCUAAACUUUGGUUCUUUAUACAUUACCCAAUCUGUGGUAUGCAGUUAUAGCCACAGAAAAUGGACUUCGACACCCAGUGAUGGGCUCCUGACCUCUCCAAGCAUUUUCUAAGUAAGGGCUUGCAAAGAAGACUCUUUCCUGUCUCUGAGAUGUGUGGCUAUCUCCUACAACUCAGGACUGUAUCUCUCAAGGACCUGAAGGCCAUUCCCUUGAAAUGUUUUCCCCAAGAAAUCUCUGUGGGAGGACACAGUCCUCACUUUCAUCAUUGCAGCUGGCAGACACAGCUGGUCUAAUCACUCUGACACUGACCAGCUCUGCCAUUUGUCACCACACACACAUUCUCCCACUAAAGUGCUCAGUCAACCCUAUGUGAAUCAGAAC
rnacentral:lncRNA from 1 species